CCAGACUCCUACGGGAGGCAGCAGUGGGGAAUAUUGCACAAUGGGGGAAACCCUGAUGCAGCAACGCCGCGUGAGUGAAGAAGUAUUUCGGUAUGUAAAGCUCUAUCAGCAGGGAAGAAAAUGACGGUACCUGAGUAAGAGGCCCCGGCUAACUACGUGCCAGCAGCCGCGGUAAUACGUAGGGGGCAAGCGUUAUCCGGAUUUACUGGGUGUAAAGGGAGCGUAGACGGCGAUACAAGUCUGAAGUGAAAGCCCGCGGCCCAACCGCGGGACUGCAUUGGGAACUGGCGCGCUGGAGUGCCGGAGGGGUAGGCGGAAUUCCUGGUGUAGCGGUGAAAUGCGUAGAUAUCAGGAGGAACACCGGUGGCGAAGGCGGCCUGCUGGACUGCGACUGACGUUGAGGCCCGAAAGCGUGGGGAGCAAACAGGAUUAGAUACCCCCGUACG
rnacentral:rRNA from 1 species